rnacentral:rRNA from 1 species
CCUACGGGAGGCAGCAGUAGGGAAUAUUGCUCAAUGGGGGAAACUCUGAAGCAGCAACGCCGCGUGGAGGAUGAAGGUUUUCGGAUUGUAAACCCCUUUUGUUAGAGAAGAUAAUGACGGUAUCUAACGAAUAAGCACCGGCUAACUUCGUGCCAGCAGCCGCGGUAAUACGGAGGGUGCAAGCGUUCCUCGGAACUACUGGGCGGAAAGGGCGCGUAGGCGGGAUAGCAAGUCAGAUGUGAAAGCCUAUGGCUUAACCAUAGAACUGCAUUUGAAACUGUUAUUCUAGAGUAUGGGAGAGGUAGGUGGAAUUCUUUGUGUAGGGGUAAAAUCCGUAGAGAUCAAGAGGAAUACUCAUUGCGAAGGCGACCUGCUAGAACAUAACUGACGCUGAUGCGCGAAAGCGUGGGGAGCAAACAGGAUUAGAUACCCGUGUAGUC